GACAGAGGUGCCAAGCGUUAGGCGGAAUCACUGGGCGUAAAGAGCGUGUAGGCGGUUUGGUAGGUCCGCUGUGAAAACUCGAGGCUCAACCUCGAGACGCCGGUGGAAACCAUCAGACUAGAGUCCGGAAGAGGAGAGUGGAAUUCCUGGUGUAGCGGUGAAAUGCGCAGAUAUCAGGAAGAACACCCGUGGCUAAGGCGGCUCUCUAGUACGGUACUGACGCUGAGACGCGAAAGCGUGGGGAGCGAACAGG
rnacentral:rRNA from 1 species